rnacentral:sRNA from 1 species
CAUUGAUCCAAGGACACUUGAACCUUGGGAGGGGCUCUUUCCUUGCAAUUCAGAUUUCAUUUCACAGAUUCCUCUCUCUAGAACAGAAACCUUGUCCUAACUCAAGUGCUCUGACUUCUCUCUAGGUUUCCAGCCAUUUCCACCGAUUGAAUCCUAAUUUGGUGGUGUUUUCUUGUUCCUGGAGUCAAGAGCUACCAAACCAUCCGAUUGGUUUUGCGUUCCAGUGGGUUCUGUACAGUUUCGCACGGUGUAGGGGAUACUGUUAGAGCAUCUGUGAACUGUGUUGAGCAACCCACCAGAGGAGAAUGAGGCCUCAGUGGAGAAUGUCCUGGAGGGGAAUGAGGAAGCAACUUCUUAGUCUCUCUAGGAAUUCCAUAGCUUUCCUUGUAUCUGAAUAAUUCCAGUUCUUGUAUUUUGAAGUACUUUAGUAUUCCACGUUUUAAAAUUUCUUCUACAUUUCGGAUUACUAUAAUCCUUAAAUUUUAAUUUCUUAGAACCUUAUUUGCUA